GACGAACGCUGGCGGCGCGCUUAACACAUGCAAGUCGAGCGAGAACCAGGGCUUCGGCCCUGGGGACAGCGGCGAACGGGUGAGUAACACGUGGGUAAUCUGCCCUCGGCACCGGAAUAGCCGGGGGAAACGCGGAUUAAUGCCGGAUGGCCCCUUCACCUCGCGAGGUGGCGGGAAAAGGUAGCCUCGGCCUCUGGCCGAGGAGGAGCCCGGGGCGGAUUAGCUUGUUGGCGGGGUAACGGCCCACCAAGGCGACGAUCCGUAGCUGGUCUGAGAGGACGAUCAGCCACACUGGGACUGAGACACGGCCCAGACUCCUACGGGAGGCAGCAGUGGGGAAUCUUGCGCAAUGGGCGAAAGCCUGACGCAGCGACGCCGCGUGAGGGAAGAAGGCCUUCGGGUUGUAAACCUCUUUCAGGAGGGACGAAGCUACUCGGGUGAAUAGCCCAGAGGGUGACGGUACCUCCAGAAGAAGCCCCGGCUAACUACGUGCCAGCCGCCGCAGUAA
rnacentral:rRNA from 1 species